rnacentral:rRNA from 1 species
UGGAGGAAUACCGGUGGCGAAGGCGGCCCCCUGGACAAAGACUGACGCUCAGGUGCGAAAGCGUGGGGAGCAAACAGGAUUAGAUACCCUGGUAGUCCACGCCGUAAACGAUGUCGAUUUGGAGGUUGUGCCCUUGAGGCGUGGCUUCCGGAGCUAACGCGUUAAAUCGACCGCCUGGGGAGUACGGCCGCAAGGUUAAAACUCAAAUGAAUUGACGGGGGCCCGCACAAGCGGUGGAGCAUGUGGUUUAAUUCGAUGCAACGCG